rnacentral:tRNA from 1 species
GCGCCUGUAGCUCAACUGGAUAGAGCGCCAGUCUUCGGAACUGGAUGUUGCGAGUCCGACUCUCGCCGAGCGCA